GCGCUCAGGCCGCCUUCACUGGUGGCCCUGGAGAGCUCAGCUUCGGAGUUCUAGAAGGAACAGGAGAUACAUCGGAUUUGAUCAAGCAGUUGUUAGAGGGGAGACCACUUUGGACCCGCUAACACACGUGGGGGCAGCUUCAAGAGGCCAGGAGCGUUGGGUGGAGCCUGAACCGUCCACGGGGGCUGCUCCGCUUCCUUCUCUGGGUUUUCCAUGAGGCAGCAGGGGAUUUCCUGUCAGGAACCACCAUGGUAUCUCUCAGGGCCAGUGGGGAGAAAUGUUGGAAACACAGCCUGUUAUCUCUCCCCAAACA